UNUGACUUGAGUGCAGAAGGGGAGAGUGGAAUUCCAUGUGUAGCGGUGAAAUGCGUAGAUAUAUGGAGGANCACCAGUGGCGAAAGCGGCUCUCUGNUCUGUCACUGACGCUGAGGCUCGAAAGCGUGGGUAGCGAACAGGAUUAGAUACCCUGGUAGUCCACGCCGUAAACGAUGAGUGCUAGGUGUUAGGCCCUUUCCGGGGCUUAGUGCCGGAGCUAACGCAAUAAGCACUCCGCCUGGGGAGUACGACCGCAAGGUUGAAACUCAAAGGAAUUGACGGGGGCCCGCACAAGCGGUGGAGCAUGUGGUUUAAUUCGAAGCAACGCGAAGAACCUUACCAGGUCUUGACAUCCCGAUGCUAUUCUUAGAGAUAGGAAGUUACUUCGGUACAUCGGAGACAGGUGGUGCAUGGUUGUCGUCAGCUCGUGUCGUGAGAUGUUGGGUUAAGUCCCGCAACGAGCGCAACCCUUAUUGUUAGUUGCCAUCAUUAAGUUGGGCACUCUAGCGAGACUGCCGGUAAUAAACCGGAGGAAGGUGGGGAUGACGUCAAAUCAUCAUGCCCCUUAUGACCUGGGCUACACACGUGCUACAAUGGUCGGUACAACGAGUUGCGAGCCGGUGACGGCAAGCUAAUCUCUGAAAGCCGAUCUCAGUUCGGAUUGGAGGCUGCAACUCGCCUCCAUGAAGUCGGAAUCGCUAGUAAUCGCGGAUCAGCACGCCGCGGUGAAUACGUUCCCGGGCCUUGUACACACC
rnacentral:rRNA from 1 species